GCCGGAUUAGCUCAGUGGCCAGAGCAACCGCCUUGUAAGCGGUAGGUCAUCAGUUCGACUCUGAUAUCCGGCACCA
rnacentral:tRNA from 1 species